GACGAACGCUGGCGGCGUGCCUAACACAUGCAAGUCGAACGGAACUGUUUUGAAAGAUUUCUUCGGAAUGAAUUUGAUUUAGUUUAGUGGCGGACGGGUGAGUAACGCGUGAGUAACCUGCCUUCAAGAGGGGGAUAACAUUCUGAAAAGAAUGCUAAUACCGCAUGACAUAUCGGAAUCACAUGAUUUUGAUAUCAAAGAUUUUAUCGCUUGAAGAUGGACUCGCGUCCGAUUAGUUAGUUGGUGAGGUAACGGCUCACCAAGACCGCGAUCGGUAGCCGGACUGAGAGGUUGAACGGCCACAUUGGGACUGAGACACGGCCCAGACUCCUACGGGAGGCAGCAGUGGGGGAUAUUGCGCAAUGGGGGCAACCCUGACGCAGCAACGCCGCGUGAAGGAUGAAGGUUUUCGGAUUGUAAACUUCUUUUAUUAAGGACGAAACUUGACGGUACUUAAUGAAUAAG
rnacentral:rRNA from 1 species